CUACUUGCCUGGCAGGAGACAUACGUGAUCGUGGUGGUGGUUUUCCCAGGGGAGGCUCAGCGCUGCACCCUGAUGAGAUGGCCCCUGUGAUUUCCCCACGUGCGGGAAACUUGCCUGCACAAUUUGUGGUCGUGGGGACUGCAUUCAUGCUCUACCCUG
ensembl:snRNA U1 U1 spliceosomal RNA